GACGAACGCUGGCGGCGUGCUUAACACAUGCAAGUCGAACGGAAAGGCCCUGCUUUUGUUGGGUGCUCGAGUGGCGAACGGGUGAGUAACACGUGAGUAACCUGCCCUUGACUUUGGGAUAACUUCAGGAAACUGGGGCUAAUACCGGAUAGGAGCUCCUGCUGCAUGGUGGGGGUUGGAAAGUUUCGGCGGUUUGGGAUGGACUCGCGGCUGAUCAGCUUGUUGGUGGGGUAGUGGCUUACCAAGGCUUUGACGGGUAGCCGGCCUGAGAGGGUGACCGGCCACCUUGGGACUGCGAUACGGCGCAGACUCGUACGGGAGACAGCAGUGGGGAAUAUUGCACAGUGGGCGGAAGCCUGAGGCGACAACGCCGCGGGCGGGAUGACGGCCUUCGGGUUGUAAACCGCUUUCGCCUGUGACGAAGCGUGAGUGACGGUAAUGUGUAAAGAAGCACCGGCUAACUACGUG
rnacentral:rRNA from 1 species